rnacentral:lncRNA from 1 species
AAAUGGAAAUCAGCUGCAGGUGAGUUAGCUUGGGAGUCAGCAAAGCACGUACACUCCAGUACACAUGGGCGACAAGCUGGACCAUAGGUGGAGGAAUAAAUCUAGAAAGAUGUAGCAUAUUUUCUGUUAUGUGGUUUUCCUUUCUUAACAGUGUUGUUUAUAUAGAUUCUUUUUCCAGCCUGCUGUAUAGGUUUUCCAUUAGGCUGGUACUCUUCUCAUUCUAUAUAUAGUGUGAUCAACCUGUAAAGAAGUGAAUAUAGCAGAUUCAAUAUCAUGAGAAAAUUCUCCCAAAACUCUUGCACUCCGCCUGCUCGAUAGUUUUCUUCUUUCAUUUAUUUCUUCUUUUCUUAUAUGGUAUCAGAGGCAGGUAUGGCACAACUUGAUUCUGCUAAUCCAAAUCCAGUUGAAUCUUCAAACGCAAAUAUAAAUCAACACCCAAAUCCAAUCUCGGUUGAUCCCUCACAGCUAAACAGUCUAUACUAUAUUGGAGCUUUCAAGAGUUUGCUGAGAGUUUUGAGGGGAGCAAUUGUAGAGGAAAACGUUUUUUUGUAUAUGUGAAUUUGCUCAAGAAAUAUCUGUACAGAAUACCAAUAUAUAUACACACAAUUUCACACCUACAACUAACUAUUAUACACAUGCUACCAGCUAUCACAUGCUGCAUAACAGAAUAACAAAUAUUAGCUACAUGAUUCCUCUCUCGUUCCUUCUAGAAAAUCCUUGGCUUCCUGCUGAUGUGUCCCUUGUUGAGUGUAUUGAUGACUAAUGCAAUUUGCUAGCUCAGCUGCUUUGUUGUCUUCCAAUAGCCCCCUUCAAGAUGAAGAGUAUAUAUCCAUUACUCCCAUCUUGUCCAUACAGGAAUAAAAACUCUGAGAGUUCAAAGCCUUUGUGAGGAUGUCUGCUGUUUGUGAUCUGCUAGGUACAUGCUUUGUGAUGAUGCUUCCAUCUUGAAUUUUAUCUCGUAUUAAGUGACAAUCAAGCUCUAUAUGUUUAGUCCAUUCGUGAAAGACCGGAUUUGUGGCAAUGUGCACAGCAGACUUAUUAUCACAGUAUAAGAAAGCAGCUUGUGGAUGCGCUAUCUGCAAGUCUUCAAAUAAAUAUCGAAGCCAUGUCAAUUCACAACACAAAUUUGCCAUGGCUCUAUAUUCUGCCUCUGAUGAAGAUCUGGAAACAACAUGCUAUUUUUUUUGACUUCCAAGAUACUAACGAUUCACCAAUAAAAACACAAUACCCCGUAAUUGAUCGCCUAGUAUCAGGGCAUGAGCCCCAAUCAGAAUCACAAUAACCAUGUAGCUGCAUCUUUGAAUUUACUGGAUAAAAUAGCCCUUGGCUUGGAGCUCUUCUCACAUAUCUUAGAACCUUGUGUGCCAUGUGCAAAUCUGGUACUCGAGGGCUGCCCAUAAAUUAGCUUAACAGCUGCACUGAGUAUGCAAUGUCUGGUCUAGUUAUGGUCAAAUAUAGCAAUCUACCAAUCAAUCUCCUAUAGAGUGUUGGAUCAGGUAAAGUUCUCCCUCAUCUUUAGUUAUCUUCAGAUUUUGAUCCAAAGGGAUCCUUGCAGGUGAGGAACCAAUUGUUCCUGAGUCUCCUAAGAUGUCAAGGGCAUACUUCCUCUGACAAAUAUGAAUACCCUUUCCAGACCUGGCUACUUCUAUACCAAGGAAAUAUCUCAAUCUUCCAAGGUCUUUGAUUCUGAAUUUGUCAUGAAGUGAACCCUUUAGGUGGUUAAUUGUUUCAAUGCAAUCACCAGCCACUAUUAUGUCAUCAACAUAUACCAAGAUAGCAGUGAAGGAUCUCCCAGUUCUUCUAGUGAACAAACUAUAAUCUGCCUUGGACUGAACAUAUCCUAGCUCGAUAAUAAACUUGGAAAGCUUAGAGUACCAUUGGCGUGAUGCUUGUUUUAACCCAUACAAGCUUUUCUUGAGUAGGCACACUUUCUUGCUAUCAUCAUUCAAGUAUCCUGGGGGCGGUUCCAUAUAUACCUCUUCAUCUAACUCACCAUGUAAGAAAGCAUUGUUAACAUCAAAUUGGAAAAGAUUCCAUCCUUUUAUGGCAGCCAUAGCCAACAAAGUUCUGAUGGUGACAAGUUUGGCUACCGGUGAGAAGGUUUCAUGGUAAUCAAAGCCUUCUUGUUGUGUAUAACCUUUAGCUACCAAUCGUGCUUUAAGUCUUUCUAUGCUACCGUCAGCAUUGAACUUCAUCUUGUAUACCCAUUUGCACCCUAUUGCGUUCUUAUCAGGAGGUAAAUUAACUAAAACCCAAGUGUCAUUAUGUUCAAGAGCAUCAAUUUCUGCCUUCAUGGCUUCACACCAUUCUGGUAACUUUUUGGCUUCAUGGUAGCUUCUAGGUUCUGAUUGGGAAGUUACAGUAGUUAUAAAAGUUUUAAAUGGAGUUGAUAGUCUUUCAUAUGAAAUACUUGCACAAAGAGGAUAAUGCUUACCUGUGGAACUCUGUCCCUUUAAUUUGUCAAACUCCAGAGAUGGGUGAAGUAAGGCAGUCUGUUGGCAUAUGAAGUCCUGGAGGUAUGUUGGUGCCCUUUGAGCUCUAGUAGACCUACGGGGUAAAUGGCUAACAGAAGUCGUGUUUGAUGGCAAAUUAGAGUUAUUUUGGGAGUCAUCUGCAGACUUGGGUAGACACUCAUUAUGGUCAGAACUUUGUUGAUUUUCUUCCAAAAUUUGUGUGUUUUGAGACUCCAUUUCUGGUGAAUCAUGACUGACAUUUUUUUAUAGGUGUGACAACAACUGUCUCAUUGUGAAAGAUGGGAUUUUGAGUGAAAUUGACAUCGUUUAGGUCUGAUUCCAGUUGAGUAUUUCUGGUGGAAUUUUCAUUUUUGAAGGGAAAAAUGUUUUCAUAGAAGAUCACAUUUCUGGAGACAAAUGUCUUCUUGGUUUCAAUGUCCAACAGAUUAUAUCCUUUGAUUCCAAAAGGAUACCCUAUAAACACACAUCUCUUUGCUCUAGGGUCGAAUUUGUGUCUUCCAUUAACAAUGGUUGUAGCAAAUGCCAAACAACCAAAAACCUUGAGGUGUAGAUAGUUUGGUCUUUUAUUGAAGAGGAUUUCAUAAGGAGUCUUGUCAUUCAAUACGGAAGAUGGUGUCCUAUUUAUGAGAUAUACAACAGUUAGGAUGCAAUGGUUCCAAUAUUUUAGGGGAAUUCCACUUUGGAAUUUCAAAGCUCUAGCGGUGUUGAGGAUAUGUUGGUGUUUCCUCUCAACCAUGGCAUUUUGUUGUGGAGUCUCAACACAAGGUUUAUGGUGUAUGAUACCUCAUUUGAGAUAAAAGUCUCUCAUGUUGAAUUCACCCCCAUUAUCAGUUUGAAUUAUCUUAACUUUGGUCUCAAAUUGUGUUUCCACCAUACGACAAAAGCUUUGGAGGGCAGCAGUUGCAUCAGAUUUCAGUUUUAACAUAUAUGCCCAAGUACACCGACUAAAAUCAUCCACAAUUGUUAAGAAAUAUUUAGAACCAUCACUACCAACCUCAUUACAAGGCCCCCAUGUAUCACAGUGUAAUAAAUCAGAACAUUUUUCAGCUCUAUGAACACUUACAGGAAAAGGAGGUUUAUGCAAUUUUGCUAAUGGGCAUAUAGAACAGGGUGUGUCAUUGGAAGAUUUUGAAAAAUGAAUAUCACCAUCAAUGUCACGAGUAGUACACGAGGAAUGUCCUAGUCUAUAAUGCCAAAUGUCUAGGUUUUGAACAUUUUUAGUUAUAGAUGCUGAAACAUAAGUGGAUGGCAGUAUGUUUAAUUUAGUCAAGUGGUCUGAUAAAGUUGAGCAGGCCACCUCCUCUCGCCUCAUAUGGUAUAGUCCUUCCUUAACUUCACCCAUGCCAAUCGUUCUCCAAACUGAAAGGUCCUGGAUAUAACAACAAUGAGGGAAGAAAAUUAGGCAGCAAUGGAGCAUUUGUGAUAAUUUUUUGGUAGAGAUCAAAUUGUAGGAAAAAUUGGGCACACAAAGAACAUUUUGAAGAAUCAAAGUAUCUGUGAUUUUUACUGUUCCUAUGUGAGUAACAGGAACCUUGUUAACAUUUGGUAGGGUAACCAUGUAUGAAACUUCUGCAUGAAUGGAAGUGAAUAAUGAGGUCGAACAGAUCAUAUGAUCUGUCACCCCGGUGUCUAGAAUCCAAGGAACCUGUGAGAUGUCAAGUGAUUUUAGUUUAAAAGUAGACAUGCACAAAGACAUACCAGAAAGUUGGUGUAUAUUUUCAUCAGUGGGGGAAGAAGUGGCAACGCCCUGAACAUCAUUUACUGAGUAGUUUGGAUAUUGGGAGCUUGUGGCUGGUUUGAGAAGAGCCAUAAGGUGUGAAUAUUGCUCCUGACUUAAUGACACUUGAGGUUUGUCAUUCACCAUUUCCUGUGCAGUGGGCAACGAUGCAAUGGAUUGAUUAGCUGAUGGCCUAUUCUUCCCUUCAACUUUGUGACGUAGUUGGUACCCAUGUAGCUUGUAGCACUUAUCUGCACAAUGACCAGGAACUCGACAAUAGGAGCAAAUUGGUUUUCCUGGGUUAGCUUUGAAGCACUUCUCGACAGAAUGUCCUGCAAUUUUACAAAAGGUGCAAAAAUAACCCCUCCUCUGUGCAGGUAUGUUCUGUUUCCCUUUUUCUUUAUAAUUUCUUUUGGUGAUAAGAGCCAUAGACUCAGAUGCAGCCCCUUGUGCAAUGCCUUCAGUCGAUAUUUCCCUUCUUUUCUCUUCCUGUUGUAUGAUUGAAUAGACCUCAUUUAGACUUGGAAAGGGCUUAAUCAAUAGGAUUUGUGCUUUGAUUUCUCUAUAUGAAUCAUUCAAUCCCAUUAGGAACUUCAUCACCCAGUCCCUUUGCAGAUUUUGGACCACAGUUUUCAAUCCCCCAUAGCUGCAAUUAGGAAUGGCCUCGUAAUUCAUGAGUUCAUCCAACAGAGUCUUCAGCUUGGAAAAAUAAGUGCUUACAGGGUCUUGAUUUUGCAGCAACGUGGUUAUGGCCUGCUUAAUUUCGAAAAUUCGGGGCGCAUUCUGCUGUGCAAAACGCUGCUCCAGCUCAACCCAUAACUGGUGUGCUGUUUCCGCAUAAGUAGUGUUGCACUUUAUAUCAAUGGCCAUUGUGUUCUGCAUCUAGGUGAUCACAAUGUCGUUACAACGCAGCCAAUGUUCCAUCAGAGGGUCAUUGGGAUCUUCUGGCUCGCAUAUGCUUCCAUCGAUGAAUCCUAAUUUGUUCUUGAUACGUAAUGCCCUCUUCAUGGAUCGUGCCCAUGAGUGAUAGUUACUGGCAUCCAGUGUGUGGCUAACGAGCAGAACACCAGUGCUAUCAUUGCUUCCUAUGAAAUAUGGACUGUUUGGUUGAGUGGGAUCAUGAACAACAGUGUUUGGAUUUUGGUUUGAAUUUGAGUUCCCAGCAUUUGAAUCUUGGUUUUCAAGCUCUGAUACCAUUUCAAGAGUCGUAAAGUAGAAAAACUUUGUUGAGAAUUUUGAGGGGAGCAAUUGGAGAGGAAAACGUUUUUUUGUAUAUGUGAAUUUGCUCAAGAAAUAUCUGUACAGAAUACCAGUAUAUAUAUACACAAUUUCACACCUACAACUAACUAUUAUACACAUGCUAUCAGCUAUCACAUGCUGCAUAACAGAAUAACAAAUAUUAGCUACAUGAUUCCUCUCUCGUUCCUUCUAGAAAAUCCUUGGCUUCCUGCUGAUGUGUCCCUUGUUGAGUGUAUUGAUGACUAAUGCAAUUUGCUAGCUCAGCUGCUUUGUUGUCUUCCAAUAGAGCUAAUGAUAGCUCUGGAUCCAUACUCGUUACUCAUGUAUUGGAUUCAAACCAUUAUCAUUCCUGGGCACAUGCGAGCAAAGAGCACUCAGGAUUAAAAAUAAGCUCGAUUUUGUUGGUGGAAGCAUUUUAGAGCCUAGUGAUGCAAACAGUCCACUUAUGGAGCAUUGGUUGAGAUGUAAUGAUAUUGUAAUCACUUGGUUGCAGAAUACUAUGGCAGUUGAAAUAAAAUGCAGCACCAUGUAUGCUGAAACGACACAUUAUCUAUGGAAGGAACUUGAACAGAGAUUGGCACAGCAAAAUGCACCUAGGAUUUUUGAACUCAAACAAAGUAUUGCAAACCUGAUGCAAAACGAAGAUAGUGUAAAUGUGUAUUUCUCAAAGCUGAAAACUCUUUUGGAUGAAUUGCUAAAUUAUGAAUCAGUACCCAAUUAUUCUUGUGGAGGUUUGAAGGUUGUGGUGAAAAACCAACAAAGAGAUUAGGUUAUGAAAUUCCUAAGGGGUCUCAAUGAUACGUACAAUGGAUUAAAGGCUCAAAUUCCCCUCAUUAAGCCUUUCCUAAGGUUGAAUGAAGUAUACUCCAUAAUUCAGCAAGAAGAAAAGAGAAGGCAAAUAUCCACCGAUUGUUCACUUGAUAAAACUAUGGCACUACUUGCUAAAGGUAACCUUGAUGUGAGAACACAAAACCAAUCCUCCCAGAAGAAGGAUAGGUACUACUGCACCUAUUGUAAGAUAGCUGGGCAUUCCCUUAAACGAUGCUUCAAGGCUAAUCCAAACAAACCAGCAUGCUCUUAUUUCCAAAUGCCUGGUCAUACAGUUGGAAAAUGUUUUGAGUUACAUGGGUAUCCAUCGGGGCACAAAUCAGAAGGGAGAAACAAGCCAUCAACAUCAUUUGCUAAUCAGAUUACUGCACUUAUGCCUCUUGUCCAGGAACAGGUAAAUAACAAAGCUCAAAUCUCUUUAACUCGGGAGCAAUAUGAUCAGCUCAUGGCACUGCUAAAACCACAAACUCAUCAAUCCUUCAUCCCUUCUGCAAAUCACAUUCAAACUUUAUUCCAGCUCAUUCUGAUAAUGAUGAGAUGCCAAAAGUUUCAGGUAUAUCUCUAUGUCUAUAUGCCUUUAGCACUAAACUUCAUGAUCAUUCAGUUGUACCUUGGAUAUUAGACACAGGGGCCACAGAUCAUAUGAUCUGCUCAACCUCUCUCUUUAUCACAAUAAAGUCUAAAGUUUCAUUUUCAGUAGGUCUCCCAAAUGGUAAUGUUGUUCCUGUCACUCACAUUGGGACGGUAAAAUUUUCAAAAUCUUUCAUUUUGGAUAAUGUUCUUUGUGUUCCGUCGUUUUCUUUUAAUCUGAUAUCAGCUAGAAAAAUAACGAAGAACAUGAAUUGUUGCCUCAUUUUUCUUCCUGAUCGUUGUUUUAUACAGGACCUUUUGACUUGGAAAAUGACUGGAAUUGGUGAAGUAAAGCAAUGACUCUUAUCACUUGAUGCAAAACGAAGUGUCUCCUUUUGCCUUGACCAAGAAAUUAGCCUAUCUAACUCAAAAGACACCCAUAUCUGCUUCCUCUAUUUUCAAUAAUGGUGAAGAUUUCGAUCUUUGGCACUGUAGGUUAGGACACUCCACCUAUUCCAAGCUUAAUUUACCAGAAGACACCACAAGAUCCACCAAACAACCUUGCCUUAUUUGUCCUUUAGCCAAACUACAAAAAUUACCAUUUCCUGUCAGCCAGCAUAGAUCAGAAAAAUGUUUUGAUUGCAUAUAUUGUGACAUUUGGGGACCAUGUAAUGAGAUUAGUUAUGAUGGUUUUCGUUAUUUUCCAGCUAUUGUGGAUGAUUUUAGUAGAUAUACUUGGGUUUAUAUGUUGAAAUUAAAAUCUGAUGCUGGCAUUGUUUUGCAAAGUUUUUGCUCUAUGAUUGAAACAUAAUUUGAAUGCAAAGUUAAAACUAUUAGAUCAGACAAUGGAGAUGAAUUUGAGAUGAAGAAAUUUUAUUCACAAAAGGGAAUCAUUCACCAUAAAACUUGUGUAGAGACUCCUCAACAAUAUGCCAUAGUUGAAAGAAAACAUCAACACAUUUUAAAUGUGGUAAGAGCUUUAAAAUUUCAAAGUGGCAUCCCAUUAAGAUAUUGGAGUGAUUGUGUUCUCACGGAAGUUUAUCUUAUAAAUAGAACCCCUAUACCUCUUUUAGACCACAACACACCCUUUGAAAUUCUUUUUCAAACCAAACCAGAUUACACUUAUCUUAGAGUUUUCGGAUGCCUAACAUUUGCUACUACCCUAGUAAGUGGAAGACAUAAGUUUGAUCCUAGAGCUAGGAGAUGCAUAUUUUUGGGAUACCCAUUUGGAAUCAAAGGAUACAAAUUAAUGGAUUUGGAAACAAAGAAGGUCUUUAUCUCUAGGAAUGUUAUCUUUCCACGAGAGUGUGUUUCCUUGCAAGCAAAAUGCUAGCAUCGGUGCUGAUUUUAGUCCAAAUCCAACUUCAAAAACAGAUUUCAUUUAUGAAAUUCCUACUAUCUCAAAUCACAUAGAAAACAACCCAAAUCAUUCUCUUAUCAACACUUCAGGAAAAAUGCAGUAACAGAUCACUCAACAGACUUUGAAUCUUCUUCAUUAGAACAAAAUCAUGACUCAUUUGAACCUGCAAAUACAUUUAGAAUUGACAGUGAGCCAUCCCAAAAACAAGUUGUACCUCAAAGGUCAAACAGAAUCAAGAGAACCCCUACAUAUCUCAAGGAUUUUGUCUGCCAACAGGUCACUUUGCUUCCCCAUUCAUAGGCUUUGGACAGGCAAAGGGUCACCGUUCCCUCAGGUAAUCCCUAUCCUCUUGAGAAUAGUGUGUCAUAUGAUAAACUCUCCACUCCCUACAAGGCUUUUGUUGUUUCUAUCAGUACACACAAAGAACCAAUGAAAGCUGAAAUAAAUGCUCUCGAAUUAAAUGAUACUUGGCUAGUUGUUGAUCUGCCAUAGGGUGUAAGUGGGUUUAUAAAAUCAAAUUCAAUGCUAAUGGGACCAUAGAGAGAUAUAAAGCCAGGUCAGUGGCUAAGGGAUACACAUAGCAACAAGGACUCGACUAUCAUGAAACAUUUUCUCCUGUGGUAAAACUAGUUAAGGUAAGGACUUUGUUGGCUUUGGUUGCUGUUAAAGGUUGGCACUUAUACCAGUUUGAUGUAAACAAUGCAUUUCUACAUGGAGAUUUAAAGGAAGAAGUUUACAUGCAAUUGCCUCCAAGUUGUUCCACUGCUAAUGGGACAAAAGUUUGCAAAUUGAAGAAAAACUUGUAUGGCCUUAAACAAUCAUCUAGACAGUGGGAUUCUAAGCUAUCUAACUUCAUUAUUGAGAAAGGUUUUUCACAAUCUAAGGUUGCUUAUAGCUUAUUUACAAGAGCUACAAAACAUUCUUUUACUGCCAUCCUCGCAUAUGUCGACGACAUUAUAGUGUUAAGCAACUGCAUUGACUCUGUUAAUGUUCUCAAGGAUACCCUACAUGAGAAAUUCAAAAUCAAGGACAACUGAAAUACUUCCUUGGGAUUGAAGUGGCUAGGUUAGAUCGUGGCAUCCACAUAUGCCAAAGAAAGUAUGCCUUAGACAUCUUGACAAAUUCAGGCAAAAUUGGGGCAGCACCAACUCGAAUUUCGCUUGAUCAGAAUCUUAAGCUUUCUAAAGAGCAGGGUAAACUAAUUCCUAACCCAUUACUCUAUAGAAGGCUAGUUGGAAGAUUACUAUAUUUAACUAUAACAAGAUCGGAUCUAUCCUUUUCAAUGCAACUAUUAAGUUAAUUCAUGGAUAACCCUAGAUUACCAAACCUUAAUGAAGCCUGCAAGGUUUUAAGGUAUAUCAAAAAGGCAACAGGACAAGGUUUGUUCUAUUCUACUGAAUCAAGCCUGCAGCUUAUAGGUUACUCUGAUUCAGAUGGGGGAGCAUGCCAGGACACAAGAAGGUCGGUCAGUGGUUAUUGUGUGUUUAUUGGGUCUUCUUUUGUAGCUUGGAAGUCAAAGAAACAAGGGGUCGUGUCCAGAUCAUCUACAGAGGCAGAAUACCGAGCAAUGGCUAACCUGUACUGUGAAUUAACUUGGGUGAGAUAUUUACUUCAUGACUUGCAGAUUACACAUCCUCAGGCUGCCGCUAUGUUUUGUGAUAACAAGGCAGUACUUCACAUCGCAUCGAACCCUGUCUUUCAUGAAAGAACUAAACAUAUUGAGCUUGAUUGCCGUCUCAUCCAUGACAAGAUUCAAGAUGGAAGCAUAACCACCGAUUAUAUUGGUAGUGGACUACAAGUUGCAGACCUCCUAAAUAAGGCCUUAAGUUCUUCUGUUUUCUACUCUCAUUUGCUCAAGAUGGGAGUAGAAGAUAUCUACUCUCUACCUUGCGAGGGGCUAUUAGAAAAUAGAAAUCAGCUGCUGGUGAUUCAGGUUGGGAGUCAGCAAAGCACACACACUCCAGUACACAUGGGCAACAAGCUGGACCAUAGGUGGAAGAAUAAAUCUAGAAGGAUUUAGCAUCUUUUCUGUUAUGUGGUUUUCCUUUUGUAACAGAGUUGUUUAUAUAGAUUCUUUUUGCUCCCUGUUGUAUAGGUUUUCCGUUAGGCUGGC